rnacentral:rRNA from 1 species
UACGAAGGGGGCUAGCGUUGUUCGGAAUUACUGGGCGUAAAGCGCACGUAGGCGGAUACUUAAGUCAGGGGUGAAAUCCCGGGGCUCAACCCCGGAACUGCCUUUGAUACUGGGUAUCUCGAGUCCGGAAGAGGUGAGUGGAAUUCCGAGUGUAGAGGUGAAAUUCGUAGAUAUUCGGAGGAACACCAGUGGCGAAGGCGGCUCACUGGUCCGGUACUGACCCUGAGGUGCGAAAGCGUGGGGAGCAAACAGG